UACGUAGGGGGCUAGCGUUGUCCGGAAUCAUUGGGCGUAAAGCGCGUGUAGGCGGCCCGGUAAGUCCGCUGUGAAAGUCGGGGGCUCAACCCUCGGAUGCCGGUGGAUACUGUCGGGCUUGAGUACGGAAGAGGCGAGUGGAAUUCCUGGUGUAGCGGUGAAAUGCGCAGAUAUCAGGAGGAACACCAAUUGCGAAGGCAUCUCGCUGGGACGUUACUGACGCUGAGGAGCGAAAGCGUGGGGAGCGAACAGG
rnacentral:rRNA from 1 species